GGGGCUGUUAUGUGGUUUUCGACGAUUGAUAUGUCUAUAAACUAAUUAAACAAUGUUUAAAUUAAACUUUUAAAGAAAGCAAACUUGUUUUGCUUAAUUUUCUGAAAAUUCUAAUACCUAGAAAGGUUAAUUAUCGCUAAAACUAAUUUUAAGAAAAAUAUUAAUAAGAUUUUCUAAAUAGUUAUAAUUAUAAUUGUAUUUACUAGACUUUAAUUGUAUACUAAACAAAAUAGUUUUAGUUUUCAAUCGGAUGUAGGUUCAACUCCUACCAGCUCCA
rnacentral:tmRNA from 2 species